rnacentral:lncRNA from 1 species
GGCAUGUAAUGGAAAUAUUUGGUAUAUAUGUACUUAUGUGAUCAAAAAAGAAUGAAUGUUUUGUGCUUGUACAUGUGUGGUAUGCUUGUUGGCAAAUUGGUAAGGUUGUUAAUGUCAUAUUAUGAUAAGCUUGAAUAUGGGGUUGUGUUUGGUAAAUGACAGAAUGAGUCGAAUACUUCAUAAAUUGUAAUUGUUAUGGAUUGAGUGGUUAGGUAAUAGCUUGAUUGGAAUGUAUAGCAUAAUUGUUUGAUCUUUGAUAUAGAUGUUUAAGAAUGCCAUGUACAACAAUUCUUUUGGUGUCAAAUGCAUUGGUGAAUACACUUUAGUGUAUGGCUGAUAAUUUUGAGUAUCCUUCAAAUUACAGUGUUUCUUCCUCCCAACUUGCAUCUGAGGUCCGAACGCCCUAGGGGUUGCUGUCAUGUUUGCCAUUGUGGCCAAAGAGCCCACCGUCGACUCCUUUCCUUCCCCUUGACUCCGAUUUCCCAUCAUCGAAGGGUAAAUUUACUUCCGCUUAUUUUGCUAGCAAUAUUGUAAUCUAGUUUCAUCCUUCUCCCAAUCAAACCACCAAAUUCCCCUAGUAUUUUCCUCUUGUACAGGUGACCCGAAAGGCUAGGCAAUCUAAUCCAAGUUAGAACAGCACUCGAGAAUGAUUGUAAUGGAUUAAAAUCUAGCAUCCAUGGUUGAACGAUUAGGUACUGGCCAUAAAUAAUCCAGGAACCUUGAGUUAAAGACCUUGUCAAAGUCCUCUACAUAUUGGAAUUUGACCAAGUAAUACUUGUUCUCAAUAUCCAUAAGCUAAAACGGUUUUAUCGGUCUCCAUAAAACACAAACCCUAUCAUGAAGAGCAACCUAACCUAUACUUCGUCCCAACAGUUUAACCACCAACGUCUUCACCAAAUCUUUCAUCAAAAUUUGCUGGAUGCGAUCCUAAAAGUUAAUCGAUAGAAUUUCAUCCACUGUUGAUUUCAGAACGUCUUCCUUUAAAAACUCUAUCUUGUUAAUCUCUUCCGAUUCAACCAACUCUAACGCCUCCCUAGAACCCUCGACUCCUUUUCCCAGCACCUUAUCCCUCCAUGAUACAUUCCAAGUCGAAGACAGAUCCACCACCAUAUCAGAAAUCGCAUCAUUAGAACCAACGGCAUCGCUGAUAGCCAUGAUACGUUUGGAGUUGAUUUAAUAUUUACUAUAAAAUAAUAUGUUUUGAGCCACAAGCAUAUGCAUUCUAAAUAAAGAAAUAAACAAGGUUAUCUCAGCUAUUGCAUAGAUUAGAACGUUCAACUAUCUUUGAAGAAAUAUUGAUUAAAUAGUGGUAAAGUGAAGAAGCGA